CACCGAAGCUGCGGCAGCGACGCUGAUGCGUUGUUGGGUAGGGGAGCGUUCUGUAAGCCUGCGAAGGUGUGCUGUGAGGCAUGCUGGAGGUAUCAGAAGUGCGAAUGCUGACAUAAGUAACGAUAAAGCGGGUGAAAAGCCCGCUCGCCGGAAGACCAAGGGUUCCUGUCCAACGUUAAUCGGGGCAGGGUGAGUCGACCCCUAAGGCGAGGCCGAAAGGCGUAGUCGAUGGGAAACAGGUUAAUAUUCCUGUACUUGGUGUUACUGCGAAGGGGGGACGGAGAAGGCUAUGUUGGCCGGGCGACGGUUGUCCCGGUUUAAGCGUGUAGGCUGGUUUUCCAGGCAAAUCCGGAAAAUCAAGGCUGAGGCGUGAUGACGAGGCACUACGGUGCUGAAGCAACAAAUGCCCUGCUUCCAGGAAAAGCCUCUAAGCAUCAGGUAACAUCAAAUCGUACCCCAAACCGACACAGGUGGUCAGGUAGAGAAUACCAAGGCGCUUGAGAGAACUCGGGUGAAGGAACUAGGCAAAAUGGUGCCGUAACUUCGGGAGAA
rnacentral:rRNA from 1 species